AAGCACAGAAAGGACAGUCCAUAACGUUGACUUUGCCUCCACACUCACUCACAUAUUUUCUUUCUCUCAGUGAAUAGUCGAUAACAAAAAAAAAAAACUGGUUGUGGGACAUUGGACCGUCUCUUCAUAGUGAUGAUCAGAGUAGACUUGCACUUACACGGAUGGUGCAAAGUCAAGAUGACAUGACAACAGUGAUUGGGUGAUGGGUUUUAUGUUGGGCUGGCCCCAUAAAGAACACAAUAAAGAUGAAAUGGCUUAAUGUCCUGCUUCAAUGUACAUCAAGACUACACAGAGUUACUACCUGCAGGAACAGGACUGAGCACAUUCAACAUGAGCCCUGGAACACAACACAUUUCCAUCAAUCAAGACUUAGUAGGUCUGUAACCUG